GACGAACGCUGGCGGCGUGCCUAAUACAUGCAAGUCGAGCGGACUUCUUAAAAGCUUGCUUUUAAGAAGUCAGCGGCGGACGGGUGAGUAACACGUGGGCAACCUGCCUGUAAGACUGGGAUAACUUCGGGAAACCGGAGCUAAUACCGGAUAAUAUAANGAACCUCCUGGUUCUUUAUUGAAAGAUGGUUUCGGCUAUCACUUACAGAUGGGCCCGCGGCGCAUUAGCUAGUUGGUGAGGUAAUGGCUCACCAAGGCGACGAUGCGUAGCCGACCUGAGAGGGUGAUCGGCCACACUGGGACUGAGACACGGCCCAGACUCCUACGGGAGGCAGCAGUAGGGAAUCUUCCACAAUGGACGAAAGUCUGAUGGAGCAACGCCGCGUGAGCGAUGAAGGCCUUCGGGUCGUAAAGCUCUGUUGUUAGGGAAGAACAAGUGCGAGAGUAACUGCUCGCACCUUGACGGUACCUAACCAGAAAGCCACGGCUAACUACGUGCCAGCAGCCGCGGUAAUACGUAGGUGGCAAGCGUUGUCCGGAAUUAUUGGGCGUAAAGCGCGCGCAGGUGGUCCUUUAAGUCUGAUGUGAAAGCCCACGGCUCAACCGUGGAGGGUCAUUGGAAACUGGGGGACUUGAGUGCAGAAGAGGAA
rnacentral:rRNA from 1 species